rnacentral:rRNA from 1 species
GAUGAACGCUGGCGGCGUGCCUAAUACAUGCAAGUCGAGCGAACAGACGAGGAGCUUGCUCCUCUGACGUUAGCGGCGGACGGGUGAGUAACACGUGGAUAACCUACCUAUAAGACUGGGAUAACUUCGGGAAACCGGAGCUAAUACCGGAUAAUAUAUUGAACCGCAUGAUUCAAUAGUAAAAGACGGUUUUGCUGUCACUUAUAGAUGUAUCCGCGCCGCAUUAGCUAGUUGGUAAGGUAACGGCUUACCAAGGCAACGAUGCGUAGCCGACCUGAGAGGGUGAUCGGCCACACUGGAACUGAGACACGGUCCAGACUCCUACGGGAGGCAGCAGUAGGGAAUCUUCCGCAAUGAGCGAAAGCCUGACGGAGCAACGCCGCGUGAGUGAUAAAGGUCUUCGGAUCGUAAAACUCUGUUAUUAGGGAAGAACAAAUGUGUAAGUAACUAUGCACGUCUUGACGGUACCUAAUCAGAAAGCCACGGCUAACUACGUG